rnacentral:rRNA from 1 species
UAGGGAAUCUUCGGCAAUGGACGGAAGUCUGACCGAGCAACGCCGCGUGAGUGAAGAAGGUUUUCGGAUCGUAAAGCUCUGUUGUUAGAGAAGAACGUUGGUAGGAGUGGAAAAUCUACCAAGUGACGGUAACUAACCAGAAAGGGACGGCUAACUACGUGCCAGCAGCCGCGGUAAUACGUAGGUCCCGAGCGUUGUCCGGAUUUAUUGGGCGUAAAGCGAGCGCAGGCGGUUCUUUAAGUCUGAAGUUAAAGGCAGUGGCUUAACCAUUGUACGCUUUGGAAACUGGAGGACUUGAGUGCAGAAGGGGAGAGUGGAAUUCCAUGUGUAGCGGUGAAAUGCGUAGAUAUAUGGAGGAACGCCGGUGGCGAAAGCGGCUCUCUGGUCUGUAACUGACGCUGAGGCUCGAAAACGUGGGGAGCAAACAGG